AACGCGAAGAACCUUACCAAGGCUUGACAUGCAAUUGCACCAUCCGUAAUGGGAUGUCCCUUCGGGGCGGUUGCACAGGUGCUGCAUGGCUGUCGUCAGCUCGUGUCGUGAGAUGUUGGGUUCAGUCCCGCAACGAGCGCAACCCCUGCCGCUAGUUAAUCUGUCUAGCGGGACCGCCGCGAUCAACGCGGAGGAAGGCGGGGAUGACGUCAAGUCAGCACGGCCCUUACGCCUUGGGCUACACACACGCUACAAUGGUCGGAACAACGGGCAGCCAACCCGCGAGGGGGAGCCAAUCCCAUCAAAUCCGGCCUCAGUUCAGAUUGUAGGCUGAAACCCGCCUGCAUGAAGGAGGAGUUGCUAGUAACCGUGGGUCAGCACACCACGGUGAAUACGUUCCCGGGCCUUGUACACACCGAGACGUA
rnacentral:rRNA from 1 species